rnacentral:rRNA from 1 species
GACGUAGGGGGCCAGCGUUGUUCGGAAUUACUGGGUGUAAAGGGUUCGUAGGCGGUGUGGCAAGUCGGGAGUGAAAUUUCUGGGCUCAACUCAGAGACUGCUUCCGAAACUGCUGGGCUUGAGUUCUGGAGAGGAAGGCGGAAUUCUCGGUGUAGAGGUGAAAUUCGUAGAUAUCGAGAGGAACACCGGUGGCGAAGGCGGCCUUCUGGACAGUGACUGACGCUGAGACGCGAAAGCGUGGGGAGCAAACAGG